UUUUCGGAGAGUUUGAUCCUGGCUCAGGACGAACGCUGGCGGCGUGCCUAAUACAUGCAAGUCGAGCGAACAGAAGGGAGCUUGCUCCCGGAUGUUAGCGGCGGACGGGUGAGUAACACGUGGGUAACCUACCUGUAAGACUGGGAUAACUCCGGGAAACCGGAGCUAAUACCGGAUAGUUCCUUGAACCGCAUGG
rnacentral:rRNA from 1 species